CAUGUCUUUUUGAUUAUAAUUUAAAGUCUAAUCUGCUCAAUGAUAAUUUAAAUUGCCGCAGUAUUUUAACUGUGCAAAGGUAGCAUAAUAAUUAGUUAUUUUAUUGAUAGCUGGAAUGAAUGAUUGGACAAGAAAAUUACUGUCUCUGAUUAAUUAUUUUUGAAAUUAAUUUUUAAGUUAAAAAGCUUAAAUUUUUUUUAUAGACGAGAAGACCCUAUAGAGUUUUAUUUUAUUAGUUUAUAUUAUUAUUUAGUAAUAAUUUAUUUUAUUAAAUUAAUUAAAUUUAAUUGGGGUGAUUAAAAAAUUUAAUAAACUUUUUUAAAUUUUAAUUACUUAUUUGUAAAUUUUGAACCUAGAAGUUUUAAGUUUAAAAUAAAUUACCUUAGGGAUAACAGCGUAAUUUUUAUUUAAAGUUCUUAUUUAAAUAAAAGUUUGCGACCUCGAUGUUGGAUUAAAGUUUACUGUUGGUGCAGAAGCUGAUAGGUUGAGUCUGUUCGACUUUUAAAAUUUUACAUGAUCUGAGU
rnacentral:rRNA from 1 species